rnacentral:sRNA from 1 species
AUAUUUCAUAUCAUAUUCAGCUCCUCUAAAAUAAAAUUUCUUGUAACAUACAUGAAAACUUCUUUCAAAAAUGUAGAGUUAUGGGGAACAACAUUGAGUCUUAACACGUAUUUAGUUUAGGCUUGUCCUUAAUUCCAGAAGUGAAAUGAUAUCGUGAUAUUUGUGUUCCGUCAGAAGCAAUUUUACUUAUUUAUCUUGUCACAUGAAACAGAAAUUAAAACUGUUUUAUUAAAGGUG